GUGUAAUCCCACUCAACGAAGCCACAUCAUCUUCAGUCAUCUCACCGGAGACUUAAAUUAAAGAUAACUUCGAAUCUUGUUUCAUAUAGAAACUGAAACUGGAGACGCUUCUCUGACUGGUGGAGUCAGAUUUUGAUACCUAGAAUGGUAAAGGCCAUAUAAGUUGCUCUCAUUUAUACGUGCGGUUUAAUCUUAUUUCUGUUGGAAUAUGCUGCCAGCAACGACCGAGCAGAGUAGGGUGUGGGAGGGAAGAUGGGAGAAGAGAGACCACCUCCUGUGCUUUUCCUUUCGCCUGUUGGCAUCGGAUGAAAGAUAGCAAAAUGCAUGUAACUGUCUCCCUGACCUUGAGUAGCUGAUAAUUAGCUAGGAAGAUAGGAGGUGUAUAGGUUGUAAAAUAAAACAAGUGUAGCAUAAAGAUGUCAAUUAUUCCCAGAACAUACUUAGGGAUGCUUUCAGGUCUUGCUUUUCAAAAAACACUUUCCUGGUGUUUUUGCUCUAUUAGCAGGACUUAGAACAUCUUCCAUUUUUGAGAUAGUCCAAUUUGAGUUCCUGAUGCCAGGAAGGCCGCUUUUAAUUGUCUUUGUUGUCCUUCUGUUCCAGGUUUUUCUCUUUUUCCUGUUUCAGUUUUCUGGAAAACAGAGAGCUGCCAAGUGGGCUAUUCUUAGCACAGCUGUGCCCAUGUUUAGAAACAGUCACUAUUGUUUCCCUUGUUCUGCACUGAACCCACAACAAAUUAAUCCUCCUAAGAAAAACUUCUGGCAUGAUAAGGGGAAGAAUCUGUGUACUGGGGGUUUGGGUAUGCUCCAAAUAGCUGAGAGUGAGCCUUUACAACUGAGGAAAGGGAGCAAUGCCUGGGUUGCUCAGUGGUUGAGCAGCUGCCUUCGGCUCAGGGUGUGAUCCUGGGAUCCAGUCCCUCAUCGGGCUCCCCACAGGGAGCCUGCUUCUCCUUCUGCCUAUGUCUCUGCCUCUCUCAGUGUGUCUCUCAUGAAUAAAUAAAUAAAAUCUUAAAAAAAACA
rnacentral:lncRNA from 1 species